AUGAACGCUAGCGGCAGGCUUAAUACAUGCAAGUUGAGGGGCAGCAUGAUAUACGCGAGUAUAUUGAUGGCGACCGGCGGACGGGUGAGUAAAAGGUAGGAGACCUACCUCAUACAGGGGGAUAGCAUAGAGAAAUCUGUGGUAAUACCCCAUGAGGUUAUAUGAAUAGAGGCAUAUAAUCAAAGUAUACGAGAGUAUGCGGUAUGAGAUGGGCCUACUGACCAUUAGCUAGUUGGUGAGGUAAGGGCUCACCAAGGCGAAGAUGGUUAGGGGUUUUGAGAGAGAGAUCCCCCACAUUGGAACUGAGAUACGGUCCAGACUCCUACGGGAGGCAGCAGUAGGGAAUAUUGGGCAAUGGGCGAAAGCCUGACCCAGCCAUGCCGCGUGAAGGAAGACGGCCUUAUGGGUUGUAAACUUCUUUACUAUACGAAUAGAGGUUAGUACGAGUUACUAAUAGGAAGGUAGUAUAGCAAAAAGCACCGGCUAACUCCGUG
rnacentral:rRNA from 1 species